rnacentral:tRNA from 1 species
GGGGCCGUAGCUCAGUUGGGAGAGCGCGUCGUUCGCAAUGACGAGGUCAGGGGUUCGACUCCCCUCGGCUCCA